AUUGAACGCUGGCGGCAUGCCUUACACAUGCAAGUCGAACGGUAACAGGUCUUCGGAUGCUGACGAGUGGCGAACGGGUGAGUAAUACAUCGGAACGUGCCCGAUCAUGGGGGAUAACGAAGCGAAAGCUUUGCUAAUACCGCAUACGAUCUACGGAUGAAAGCAGGGGACCGCAAGGCCUUGCGCGAACGGAGCGGCCGAUGGCAGAUUAGGUAGUUGGUGGGAUAAAAGCUUACCAAGCCGACGAUCUGUAGCUGGUCUGAGAGGACGACCAGCCACACUGGGACUGAGACACGGCCCAGACUCCUACGGGAGGCAGCAGUGGGGAAUUUUGGACAAUGGGCGAAAGCCUGAUCCAGCCAUGCCGCGUGCAGGAUGAAGGCCUUCGGGUUGUAAACUGCUUUUGUACGGAACGAAAAGACUCUGGUUAAUACCUGGGGUCCAUGACGGUACCGUAAGAAUAAGCACCGGCUAACUACGUG
rnacentral:rRNA from 1 species